AAUUUGUGGUUCCGAGUUCAAGCCAAAGCUUUGAUCCUGUGUUCCGAGAGACACAGCCAACCAGUCCAGUCUGCAUCAUUUGCAUCAUAGCAUAUUUAUUUUUCAAAAGAAAUGCGAAAAAAAAAGAUACACAAAAAAAGAAAAGAAAAGAAAAAAAACUAAUCCCUGCAUGCAUAUCAUUUCUCAGGUACAUUCCAGAGCUUGUUCACUGAUAGGGAUGGCAACAGUCCCAGAGUUGAAGC
rnacentral:lncRNA from 1 species